AGUCAUAUCACACUGCAACACAAAUUCCUGUAUGUUCACUGAAGUUAAGCAACUUUGAGCCUGGUCAGUACUUAGAUGGGUGACUGCUAGGGAAUGUCAGGUGUUGUAAG